UACGAAGGGGGCUAGCGUUGCUCGGAAUCACUGGGCGUAAAGGGUGCGUAGGCGGGUCUUAAGUCAGGGGUGAAAUCCUGGAGCUCAACUCCAGAACUGCCUUUGAUACUGGGUAUCUUGAGUAUGGAAGAGGUGAGUGGAAUUCCGAGUGUAGAGGUGAAAUUCGUAGAUAUUCGGAGGAACACCAGUGGCGAAGGCGGCUCACUGGUCCAUUACUGACGCUGAGGUGCGAAAGCGUGGGGAGCAAACAGG
rnacentral:rRNA from 1 species